AACGUAGGAGACAAACGUUAUCCGGAGUUACUGGGCGUAAAGGGCGUGUAGGCGGUUUGUUAAGUCUGGCGUGAAAGCUCUCGGCUAAACCGGGAGAGGUCGUUGGAUACUGGCAAACUAGAGGACGGUAGAGGCGUGUGGAAUUCCGGGUGUAGUGGUGAAAUGCGUAGAUAUCGGGAGGAACACCAGUGGCGAAGGCGAGUCUCUGGGAUGAUGCUGACGCUGAGGCGCGAAAGCCAGGGGAGCAAACGGG
rnacentral:rRNA from 1 species